rnacentral:rRNA from 1 species
GCAUAUCAAUAAGCGGAGGAAAAGAAACCAACAGGGAUUGCCCUAGUAACGGCGAGUGAAGCGGCAACAGCUUCAAAUUUGAAAUCUGGCUCUUUUAGAGUCCGAGUUGUAAUUUGCAGAGGGCGCUUUGGCUUUGGCAGCGGUCCAAGUUCCUUGGAACAGGACGUCACAGAGGGUGAGAAUCCCGUACGUGGUCGCUGGCUAUUGCCGUGUAAAGCCCCUUCGACGAGUCGAGUUGUUUGGGAAUGCAGCUCUAAAUGGGAGGUACAUUUCUUCUAAAGCUAAAUAUUGGCCAGAGACCGAUAGCGCACAAGUAGAGUGAUCGAAAGAUGAAAAGCACUUUGGAAAGAGAGUCAAACAGCACGUGAAAUUGUUGAAAGGGAAGCGCUUGCAGCCAGACUUGCUUGCAGUUGCUCAUCCGGGCUUUUGCCCGGUGCACUCUUCUGUAGGCAGGCCAGCAUCAGUUUGGGCGGUGGGAUAAAGGUCUCUGUCACGUACCUCUCUUCGGGGAGGCCUUAUAGGGGAGACGACAUACCACCAGCCUGGACUGAGGUCCGCGCAUCUGCUAGGAUGCUGGCGUAAUGGCUGUAAGCGGCCCGUCUUGAAACACGGACCAAGGAGUCUAACAUCUAUGCGAGUGUUUGGGUGUCAAGCCCGAGCGCGUAAUGAAAGUGAACGGAGGUGGGAACCCGCAAGGGUGCACCAUCGACCGAUCCUGAUGUCUUCGGAAGGAUUUGAGUAAGAGCAUGGCUGUUGGGACCCGAAAGAUGGUGAACUAUGCUUGAAUAGGGUGAAGCCAGAGGAAACUCUGGUGGAGGCUCGCAGCGGUUUCUGACGUGCAAAUCGAUCGUCAAAUUUGGGGCAUAGGGGCGAAAGACUAAUCGAACUAUCUAGUAGCUGGGUUCUGC